UACGUAGGGGGCAAGCGUUAUCCGGAUUCACUGGGUGUAAAGGGAGCGUAGACGGCCAUGCAAGCCUGGAGUGAGAGCCCGGGGCCCAACCCCGGGACUGCUCUGGGAACUGUGCGGCUGGAGUGCGGGAGGGGCAGGCGGAAUUCCUGGUGUAGCGGUGAAAUGCGUAGAUAUCAGGAGGAACACCGGCGGCGAAGGCGGCUUACUGGACUGUAACUGACGUUGAGGCUCGAAAGCGUGGGGAGCAAACAGG
rnacentral:rRNA from 1 species